GAUGAACGCUGGCGGCGUGCCUAAUACAUGCAAGUCGAGCGAACAGAUGAGGAUCUUGCUCCUCUGUCGUUAGCGGCGGGCGGGUGAGUAACACGUGGCUCACCUACCUAUAAGACUGGGCUAACUUCGGGAAACCGGAGCUAAUACCGGAUAAUAUAUUGAACCGCAUGGUUCAAUAGUGAAAGACGGUUUUGCUUUUACUUAUAGAUGGAUCCGCGCCGCAUUAGCUAGUUGGUAAGGUAACGGCUUACCAAGGCAACGAUGCGUAGCCGACCUCAGAGGGUGAUGGGCCACGCUGGAACUGGGACAGGGUCCCGACUCCUACGGGAGGGAGCAGUAGGGAAUCUGCCGCAAGGGGCGAAAGCCGGACGGAGCAGCGCCGAGUGAGUGAUGAAGGUCUUCGGAUCGUAAAACUCUGUUAUUAGGGAAGAACAAAUGUGUAAGUAACUAUGCACGUCGUGACGGUACCUAAACAGAAAGCCACGGCUAACUACGUG
rnacentral:rRNA from 1 species